UUGUGGUGCAUUUGCAUGCUUUUUGUGUUCUGUUUUUACACUUACCACCUAUUAGUAUCCCAGUUUUUAACCGUUUUGACACUCCCCUGAACAUUUUUAGACUCGGACUGACUAAGGAAAAGGAGCCAGGAGAACAGCAACAGCCAACAAAAAGUGUUUCCCCUGUUUCCCCUGAUCGAGCUGUGUGCCUCGACUUCCCUCUGGAUUCCGGACUGCCUCCCUCGAUCCUCGAUCCCUGCUUGGACACGGACCUCGUUGCUUCUCUCCAGCCCCAGACCGCUUGCUUGCCCACGGACUGCCUUCUCGCCUUGCCCCUUAGGUCUGACGUCCAACACACACAACAAACUCUGCCGGCACCCCCGCAUCGCGGCCACGCACCUGCAUGGCUGCAGGCAAUCAACAAUCCGUGCACCUGGGUCUGAUGAGGACAGACAGCAUAAAGACGAAGAUCCAGUGCCAGAACGUAGUUCACUCCUCGUAUGUUUCCCGUGAUCGAGAUGUGUGCCUCAACUUCCCUCUGGAUUCCGGACUUCCUCCCUCGAUCCUCGACCCCUGCUUGGACACGGACCUCGUUGCUUCUCUCCAGCCCCCGACCGGCUUGCUUGAUUCCUACUGGUAGUAGACAUUUUUGCCAAUGGGAAAAGCUAAAUUGUGUAGGGCUGCAGCUUCGAUUAGCGAUUAUUUUAGUAAUUGACUAAUAUAUCGAUUAGUUUGUUUGAUUUAUAGAGGAACUGGAUACAACACACUUUAUAACAGGGAUGUCAAACGUACGGCCUGAGGGCCGGAUCAGGCCCGCGAACAGGUUUUAUCCGGCCCGCGGGAUGAGUUUGCUAAGUAUAAAAAUUAAAUGACAUUUUUGAAUGAAAGAAACUGCUGUUCUAAAUGUGUCCACUAGAUGUCGCAAUAGCAAUUAUUUGUAUCUUUGUAGACGAUGCUACAUAUGUACAAAAUAAAGUAAAUGAUCAAACUACAUAAAUAACAUCCUGUAAUUUGAUUUUGAUAUAUUUUUUUUAUCUUAAUAGAUUGAAAAUGAACACCAAUGUGUUGACUAGUCAACAUUAUCACAUGAUUUAUUCAGAAAGUAUAAAUAACGACAAAUAAAGAUCGAAUACUAUU